AUACGUAAGUUGCGAGCGUUAUUCGGAAUUACUUGGGUGUAAAGGAAGCGCAGGCGGGAGAUCAAGUCAGCGGUGAAAUGUAUGGGCUUAACCCAUGAACUGCCGUUGAAACUGAUUUUCUUGAGUGAGGUAGAGGUCAGCGGAAUUUCCAGUGUAGCAGUGAAAUGCGCAGAGAUUGGAAAGAACAUCAGUGGCGAAGGCGGCUGACUGGGCCUUAACUGACGCUGAGGCUUGAAAGUGUGGGUAGCAAACAGGAUUAGAUACCCUGGUAGUCCACACCCUAAACGAUGAAUGCUAGGUGUAGGGGGACUGAACCCUUCUGUGCCGGAGUUAACACAUUAAGCAUUCCACCUGGGGAGUACGAUCGCAAGAUUAAAACUCAAAUGAAUUGACGGGG
rnacentral:rRNA from 1 species